UAGGGAAUCUUCCGCAAUGGACGAAAGUCUGACGGAGCAACGCCGCGUGAGUGAAGAAGGAUUUCGGUUCGUAAAACUCUGUUGUUAGGGAAGAAAAAAUGUAUAGUAACUAUAUACAAAAGAGACGGUACCUAACCAGAAAGCCACGGCUAACUACGUGCCAGCAGCCGCGGUAAUACGUAGGUGGCAAGCGUUGUCCGGAAUUAUUGGGCGUAAAGCGCGCGCAGGUGGUUUAGAAAGUCUGAUGUGAAAGCCCACGGCUCAACCGUGGAGGGUCAUUGGAAACUAAUAAACUUGAGUGCAGGAGAGAAGAGUGGAAUUCCUAGUGUAGCGGUGAAAUGCGUAGAGAUUAGGAGGAACACCGGUGGCGAAAGCGGCUUUUUGGCCUGCAACUGACACUGAGGCGCGAAAGCGUGGGGAGCAAACAGG
rnacentral:rRNA from 1 species